rnacentral:rRNA from 1 species
CCUACGGGUGGCAGCAGUGAGGAAUAUUGGUCAAUGGCCGGAAGGCUGAACCAGCCAAGCCGCGUGAAGGACGAAGGUGCCAAGCAUUGUAAACUUCUUUUGUCAAGGGACAAAAUCAGGCUCGAGAGCCUGACCGAGUGUACUUGAAGAAAAAGCAUCGGCUAACUCCGUGCCAGCAGCCGCGGUAAUACGGCGGAUGCGAGCUGUAUCCGGAUUUAUUGGGUUUAAAGGGUUCGUAGGCGGGCUGUUAAGUCAGCGGUAAAAUCCAGGGGCUCAACACCGGCGAGCCGUUGAAACUGGCUGUCUUGAGAUGUCGAGAGGUAUGCGGAAUGCGCAGUGUAGCGGGGAAAUGCUUAGAUAUUGCGCAGAACUCCGAUUGCGAAGGCAGCAUACCGGCGGCGAUCUGACGCUGAUGCUCGAAAGUGUGGGUAUCAAACAGGAUUAGAUACCCCUGUAGUC